AACGGCCGCGGUAUCCUGACCGUGUGAAGGUAGCGUAAUCAUUUGUCUUUUAAAUGAAGACCUGUAUGAAUGGCACAACGAGGGCUUAACUGUCUCACUCUCCCAGUCAAUGAAAUUGAUCCCCCCGUGCAGAAGCGGGGAUAAGACCAUAAGACGAAAAGACCCUGUGGAGCUUUAGAUUAAACACAGACCCACCCUACAUUUCACCACGGUAACUGCUGUUAUUUCUUCGGUUGGGGCGACCAUGGAAAAAAACAAAACCUCCACGCGGAAAAUCAAAUUACAAGAAACAAGAGCCACAGCUCUAAAUUCCAGAAAAUCUGUCCAAAAGAUCCGGCACACAACCGAUCAACGAACCAAGUUACCCCAGGGAUAACAGCGCUAUCCCCUUUUAGAGCCCUUAUCAACAAGGGGGUUUACGACCUCGAUGUUGGAUCAGGACAUCCUAAU
rnacentral:rRNA from 1 species